CUUAAAUGAAGUUGACGGGGGAGCACCUACAACGGGUGGAGCUUGCGGUUUAAUUGGAUUCAACGCCGGAAAUCUUACCGGGACCGACAGCAAUAUGAAGGCCAGGCUGAAGACUUUGCCGGAUUAGCUGAGAGGUGGUGCAUGGCCGUCGUCAGUUCGUACUGUGAAGGCAUCCUGUUAAGUCAGGCAACGAGCGAGACCCAGCCCACAGUUGCCAGCGUACUCUCUGGAGUGACGGGUACACUGUGGGGACCGCCGCUGCUAAAGCGGAGGAAGGAAUGGGCAACGGUAGGUCAGUAUGCCCCCGAAUAUCCCGGGCUACACGCGAGCUACAAUGGUUGGUACAAUGGGUAUCUACCCCGAAAGGGGACGGGAAUCUCCUAAAACCAAUCUUAGUUCGGAUUGAGGGCUGCAACUCGCCCUCAUGAAGCUGGAAUCCGUAGUAAUCGCGUUUCAACAGAACGCGGUGAAUACGUCCCUGCUCCUU
rnacentral:rRNA from 1 species